rnacentral:rRNA from 1 species
AUUGAACGCUGGCGGCAGGCCUAACACAUGCAAGUCGAGCGGAUGAAGGGAGCUUGCUCCUGGAUUCAGCGGCGGACGGGUGAGUAAUGCCUAGGAAUCUGCCUGGUAGUGGGGGAUAACGUCCGGAAACGGGCGCUAAUACCGCAUACGUCCUGAGGGAGAAAGUGGGGGAUCUUCGGACCUCACGCUAUCAGAUGAGCCUAGGUCGGAUUAGCUAGUUGGUGGGGUAAAGGCCUACCAAGGCGACGAUCCGUAACUGAUCUGAGAGGAUGAUCAGUCACACUGGAACUGAGACACGGUCCAGACUCCUACGGGAGGCAGCAGUGGGGAAUAUUGGACAAUGGGCGAAAGCCUGAUCCAGCCAUGCCGCGUGUGUGAAGAAGGUCUUCGGAUUGUAAAGCACUUUAAGUUGGGAGGAAGGGCAGUAAGUUAAUACCUUGCUGUUUUGACGUUACCAACAGAAUAAGCACCGGCUAACUUCGUG